rnacentral:tRNA from 1 species
GGCUAAGUGGCAGAGUGGUAAUGCAGCGGCCUGCAAAGCCGUCAACGCCGGUUCGAUUCCGACCUUAGCCUCAA